AUUGAACGCUGGCGGCAUGCCUUACACAUGCAAGUCGAACGGCAGCGGGGGAGAAGCUUGCUUUUCCUGCCGGCGAGUGGCGAACGGGUGAGUAAUACAUCGGAACGUGCCCUGUAGUGGGGGAUAACUAGUCGAAAGAUUAGCUAAUACCGCAUACGACCUGAGGGUGAAAGUGGGGGACCGCAAGGCCUCAUGCUAUAGGAGCGGCCGAUGUCUGAUUAGCUAGUUGGUGGGGUAAAGGCCUACCAAGGCGACGAUCAGUAGCUGGUCUGAGAGGACGAUCAGCCACCCUGGGACAGAGAAACGGCGCAGACCCCUACGGGAGGCAGCAGUGGGGAAUUUUGGACAAUGGGCGAAAGCCUGAUCCAGCAAUGCCGCGUGUGUGAAGAAGGCCUUCGGGUUGUAAAGCACUUUUGUCCGGAAAGAAAUGGCUCUGGUUAAUACCUGGGGUCGAUGACGGUACCGGAAGAAUAAGGACCGGCUAACUACGUGCCAGCCGCCGCCGUAA
rnacentral:rRNA from 1 species